UUGUCCUAUAGCAGUUGCUGGGCUCAAUGCAAUUUCAUCUUAAUAACCAAAUGAAAACAAUAAUAUUAAUGGCUCCAUAUUCAUAAUUUCUCUUUAAAGUUCAAACCGUAGCUUGACUCUUCCCUACCAUCCAUGGCCAUUGCCGACGAGUUUCUCUUCCUGUUUGCCGAUGAGUUUCGCUUCCUGUUUGUUAACAUGUGUUGGGUGUCCUAUCUCUCAAGUAUGAUUUCAAAAUCUCAUUUUUCUUUUUAUCUUCUCUCGUUUCUCUCCUUAUCUCCGUUCCAAGCUCAGUUUUUGCCAUUUCAAGCUUUUUCUUUGGUUGAUUUUUCCUCUCUUUUUGUUCUUUUCCUUCAAACCGAUCACCCGACGAAUCCGACCCGCCCAACCGAAGAAUCGAGACAAACGGUUUCAUCUGACCAUUCGGUCAACAAUGGAUGAGAAAUCUAUUCACCCGACCUAAGCGGGUCAAGUGACGGUUUGAUCCCAAACUCGAUCCGUCCGACCCAUGGACAGCCCUAGUUUCUUCGGGCAUAUGCGUGGUGAAUGUAUCGUGUUUUCAAAAAGAUGAUGGUUAUUGCAAGAUUACGAUGUCAUGGUUUAGUAUUUUGGCUCCGGAGAUCCGUUCUACACCAUCAUCUUCUUCCUCGAGAGACAGAAUCAAUCAAUCUCCGUUUGCUGUCUUGAAACUUCCGACAAGAACUUUCUGUACUGCAGCCAGUAGUUGCUCACACACCACCUUAGAGGGUCGGGCCAUCCCAAAUUCGUUUAGCAAUGACUCAUUGUACCUGUUAAGCAACAUUAUUGCAAAAUACCUAAAGGGGCAUAGUUUCCUCCGUCAACAAAAUACUCAUGUUAAACAACUCUGGCGAUUCGAAGCUCGCUGCAGUAAAGAAAGUUCUCGUCCGAGGAAACUAUGUUGCAUUAGGUAUAUUAUUGUUUUAUUCAAGGUGUUGCAAUAAUGUUGCUUAAUAGUUGCAAUGAGUCAUUGCUAAACGAAUUUGGGAUGGCCCGACCCUCUAAGCCGGUGUGUGAGCAACUCCUACAGCAGCAACUUAAAUCUUAAGUCUUUUAAUUUAUUUUCGAAAUAUAAAUUUGAGGAAAGCAGUUCUAAUUUUGGAAACUAGUUAUAGUUGUAAAUUUUGGAUGGUAGUUACUAAAUUACCUGGCUGCACAGUAUAUAUGUAGUGGUUAAACUUGAUUGACAAGCAAAUAUUAAUUGGAAGAAUAUUUGGCUUAAGAAAGAUGUAUGGAGGAUUUAAUAAGCACCACCCGUUACAUCACUUGGUCCCUCCACAAUAAGGUUAAUAUCGUUUAUUUACGAGGCAUUCAAAUGCCCAUGAAAAUAGCCAAUCCAACCCCCCUUGUGCUGUGCUGC